rnacentral:rRNA from 1 species
UACGGGGGGGGCAAGCGUUGUUCGGAAUUACUGGGCGUAAAGGGCUCGUAGGUGGCCAACUAAGUCAGACGUGAAAUCCCCAGGCUCAACUUGGGAACUGCGUCUGAUACUGGAUGGCUUGAAUUCGGGGGAGGGAUGCAGAAUUCCAGGUGUAGCGGUGAAAUGCGUAGAUAUCUGGAGGAAUACCGGUGGCGAAGGCGGCAUCCUGGACCGAGAUUGACACUGAUGAGCGAAAGCUAGGGGAGAAAACGGG